rnacentral:lncRNA from 1 species
UUCUAGAUUUUCUCAUUCACUUCGGGGUUUUCCAUUUCCAUCAACAGUUGUUACUCACUCUAUUAAGUGCACUUCUGAUGUAAGCAGCUUUGAUCAUGUGGUUGAAGGUAAUACUAACAUCUACUUAUCUUCUCUGUAUUACUUACUCGUAUAAGAAAGAAAUGUUUUGUGGGUUUUUCUUAUUUUUGUGAAAAAGGGGUUUUUGGGUUUCCAAGAUUCUGAUUUGAUAUAUUAAUUGCAUUUGGUUUUCUUGGAUUUUGGGUGAUUUGGGGUUUAUUCCCAUUUCAAUAUCUCUGUUUCACAAACAAACAAACAAUGGAAUGUGUCAAUCAAUGUGUUGAUGUUAUCUUGCUUUGAAUGUUAUUGUUCGUGCUCAUUAAUUCUUCAUGUUUAUGUUUGUUUGUUUGUUUUCCCAAGAUUCUGCUUGUGAUGAUGUCCUCAUCAUCAAUCUUUUCAAGAUUGUUGAGAUUAUUAAGGCGGAGAGAAAGAACAACAUUCAUAUUGAGGCAAAGAUUAACUGGUUUUACUUGUGUGGGCUUGUUCUUUUAUUCAUGUUUGUUCCUGCGCUAGCUGGUUUUAUAUUUUUAUUUUUAUUUUUGUAUCUUCUUCUUCUCAAGAUGAUGAUGGUAGUGUGAACAAGUUUACUACUGGUGUCUGGUAGUAGUAUGUUAACAAGAUGUUUAGUGUUUCCGGCCUGUUUGAAGUACUAUAUAUGUUAUAUGAAUGCUCUUUUAGAAUUUUGCCACAGUUAGAUAGAUUAUGGGUACCCUUUGAUUAUUGUUUUUCAUAGCAAUUUAGCUUGAAUGUCGUGAGCAUUUUUGUUUGAAAAUCAAGAAGCUCUCUAUAUAUGGCUUGUAAUCUUUUAUUGAAAUCUAUCAGAUUUCUCUCAUUUAAGUUGGUUUGAUGUAUAUAUGACUAAUAGAAGUUGAACUGCAUAAACAAAUUCCUGGUAUUCUCCAUUGCUGCAUCCUUAUCAUAUAUUGCUUGAACUGCAUAAACAAAUCCCCUCCAUCCUUCUCUCCCCCCCCCCUCCGUCUUCCCAAAGCUGGCAAAGUCCAGUUUACCAAAUCUCUUGCAAACCCAGUGUCAGCAAACAAGACCUCAGAGAUAGCCAGAUAGGCAACAAUGGAAGUAGGUGGAUUCCAAGCCUACACUCCUUCCAUUCAGGAGGAGCAAACCAAAGUCCACUAUCCCUCUUGGUAGACCAUACCAAUCUAUUCUCCUUAACAAACUCAGCUUCAAGUGAUAUACUAAGUUACUAAUUAGAAUAUGAUUUUUUGUAUGGUGUUUGCUGAUGGAAAGACAUCAUCCAUGUUGAGGUGAAUUGAUUGACUGGUCUUUCUUGUGGAGGCUAGCUUUACUUGUGUUUUUUGUGUUUUUUUUUUUUUUUGGUCUCUCUUCCUUAAUUAGCUGAAGAUGUUUAUGACUCUAUAUUCCGCGAUGGAAUAUUUCUAGUUCUAAAACUGAACUUUCUGUGGGAAACCUUUGGCAGUGAAAAUUGGGCAUCUCUGUGACUCUGCACAAUCACUUCCUUUAUUCUUGGUUGUAGCUGGUGCUCAUAUUAGUGUUCACUUGAACAAGAGUUGAAGCAUUGCAGUCACAGAACUGUUGCUAGAUUGGGCCAAUGCAAUUACUGGGGACUGAGAUCAGAGGCUGCUAUGUCUGGCAAGCCACAAUUGCAGAGAAAAAAUUCUGUCUGACAGUCUUGCUUCAGGGGUGCUUAGUCUGGUCUGUGAGAGUGCGCUCUGUUAUGGGCUCCAGUCUGUAAUGGUUGUGUCAUUUCAUCAACCUGACGAUGCUUUUCGCAUGCUGAUCAGGGUGUAUUCUUGUUACAGUUUGAGUUUCUUAUAAAAUUUUUACGUUUUAUCAAAAAAA